rnacentral:rRNA from 1 species
AAGGACGAUGAUGCAUAGCCGAGUUGAGAGACUGAUCGGCCACAUUGGGACUGAGACACGGCCCAAACUCCUACGGGAGGGCAGCAGUAGGGAAUCUUCCACAAUGGACGCAAGUCUGAUGGAGCAACGCCGCGUGAGUGAAGAAGGUUUUCGGUAUCGUAAAGCUCUGUUGUUGGUGAAGAAGGAUAGAGGUAGUAACUGGCCUUUAUUUGUACGGUAAUCAACCAGAAAGUACACGGCUAACUACGUGCCAGCAGCCGCGGUAAAU